UAUUAGUCACUUUUUAUCCAGUUUAUUAUUCUGCUAUAAAAUAUAAGGAGAAAAUGAACAAAACUUUUAUUUAAGUCUACUCAGUGGUGCACUAGAACCAGUUCACAUCAGUUCCUAGGGCUGAAUCUUCUCAUCUUUUCCCAAAUUGUGAUCAAUCACACCAAUACGGUGCACUGAACCUGCAUUGAACCCUGCCAUGGUGGGUGUAUUAGUUUUCUAUGGCUGUAACAAGAAAUUACCAUGAAUUCAGUGAUUUAAAACAAGUUAAUAUUUUAGUUAUGUAGGUUAGAAGUCUGUCACAAAUCUAUGAGGUGCCUGGGUGGCUCAGUCCAUUAAGCAUCCAACUCUUGGUUUUGGCUCAGGUCAUGAUCUCAUGGGCUAUGGGACUGACCCAUACGUCAGGCUUUGCAGUCAUCAGGGAGUCUGCUUGGGGAUUCUCUCUUUCUGAGACCUCACCACCCCCCACUUGCUCAUUCUCUCUCUAAAAUUAAUACAUCUUAAUAGAAAAAAAAGGAAGUCUGUUACAGGUCUUAUUGGACUGAAUUUCUUUCUGGAAACUAAGAAAAUCCAUUUCUGUAAAUUUUCCAGAUUCUAGAGGCCUCCCACAUUCUCUGGCGCAUGGCCUCUUUCUUCAUCCUUAAAAGCCAGCAACAUUGUAUUUCUUUGAUCAUUAUUUUAUAGUCACACCUCCUUGUGGCUUUCUUCUUUAGCCUGUUUCUUCCACUUUGAAGGACUCUUCUAAUUACACCGAGUCCUAUAUAAUUCAAGAUAAUGUCCCUAUGUUAAGGUCAGUGGAUUAGCAACAUUAAUUUCAUCUGCAACUUAUUUCUCCUUUGCCAUUCUUAGAUUCCAGGCAUUAGGAAGUGAACUACUUUGCGGGGGGUGGGAGUGGGAAGGGGGAUUAAUCUGCCAAUAACAGAAAUUGGUAAAUACUACAAAUCAUAAUUCUUCCUCCCAGAAAGCUGGUUGUUAAACAUUUACCAGCACAUCACUGCCACAAGUAAUCACAAAAGAACAUCAGCCAAAACUCUUACAAGAAUUAUAGGAUUAAAGCAAUUUACGGAAUCCUAACAAAGUUGCUUUGUACCUUAAAAUAUUUAAAUACACUAAGAAGGAUAAAUUACUCUUUGAGCAGUUUAAAACAAAUUAAGUUUACCAAAUAUCUUCACUUAGGAUGAAUUAUUAUGGAGUCGAAAAUCUUAUAUAGCAUUACUUCCUUUCUUGUAAGGAACAAAUAAUAAAGUGUUAUUAUAAAGUACAUAAGCUGUUGUCUUUUAAGAUUAAAAAAACAACAGCAGGGAAGACUUAAGGAUUUUUUCCAGAUGCUAUUUGUCAUUGAUACAGUAUCAAAUAAUUCUUUAAGAUCAGGCAUAGAUUAACUCAGUAUCAUUUUCAACCUAGAAGAAAUGACCUGCAUAUUAAGAUUUUAAUUCACUGAGUCAUAAUGCAAACCAGAGAAGGUGGAACAUUAUUAUGGCAUGCUAUGUGGGUAGGCACUGCUUUAGCAAACCUAUUGAGAAACAUAAAUCACAUCACUUCUUAAGUCUUACAGCUCUGGUAUAAAGGUGGCCCUUGUCCACAUAUUAAAAUCAAUGAUAUUUACAAUAAAGGAUCAGUUGAUCAGAUUGUUGAUAGUUGGAGAAGUUUUACUAAAUAGUAAUUUUCUUUAAGGUUUAUAUAAUAUACCUUUUAGAAAUUUCUCAUUAACAUUUCUGAUGGAAUGAGAGGAAGAAAUAAACUCCAGGGUUUAUAGUUAUAAUAGCUAACAAUGUAAGUAAUGAUCAUCCUGCCAGGAAAUACAGUUUCUUACAUAUAUUAUCUUAUUUAAUUCUAAAGGCAACUCUAUGAGACAAGUCUACAGAGAUCAGAGAAUGAACUCUUACAUCAAAGUCCUUGGAUUAAAAUCCUGGUUCCACCACUUCCUAAUCAUGUUUGACCUUGGGCAUAUUUUUAUGCCUUGUCAAAAAGGGGUGGGGGAGGAGUAAUAAGUCUGCCAUACAAUGUUGUACCCAUAAUAAAUUAACAUAUAUAAGGAGCUUAGUGGUGCCUAGCUAAAUAAUGUUUUCAAUUAUUAGUUUGAUCCUGUUAUAAGAUGCCCUCUUAUAACCCUCAGUUUCAUUACCCUACAUAAUCAAGAGAAGUGGAGAGUGCCUCCAAAAAUGAAUUCUACCAACCAUCCCAGAAGAAAGGGAAAACUGAUACAAUGGGACAUGUUAAAAUGUAGUAAAUGUGUAUACAAUUUUUACGUAUAAUAUGUAUUUUUUCUUUAUUGCAUUUCAAUAUUCAUUAAUAUAAAUGGUCUGUUUUGCUUAACACUAACUGGUAUUUGUUAAAAUUAACAAGGUUCCUGGGGCACCUGCGUGGCUAAGUCAGUUAAGCAUCUGCCAUCAGCUCAGGUCAUGAUCCCAGAGCCCUGGUUUGGAGCCCCACAUUGGACUCUCUGCUCAGCAGGGAGCCUGCUUCUCCCUCUCCCUCUGCCUGAGGCUUCCCCUGCUUGUGUUCUCUAUCAAAUAAAUAAGCUCUUAAAAUAAUACUGAGGUUGUUGAAUGCCAUAUUGGGACAUUUUUGAAAAAGCAAUUACAAAAUAGCAUCUAACAUAUCCUCUACAUCACAAAAAGUCUUAGACAUAUAUUUUUUGUGAAUUAUUUUAACUGCGUUGAGCAUGCACUGCUUCUAGAAUUGGAAACAAUAAAGCAAAAAAGGAAAAUGGAUAGUUUUGGCAAUGACUAUGGUAUUGGGGACUCAAGGAUUUUUUUUAAUAAAAAAUGAUAUCUGGUUUUAUUUGUGCCUAUACUUAUUUUCUUCAUUCAGAUUCAUCUUGAUUGCAGUGUGUGAAACAAAACAACCUUCAAACUCCAGAACAAACUGGAUACUAUUUUAGAACAAACAUAAUGCCCUAGUUGAAAAAAUGCUCUAGUUUAAAAACCUAUUAAAAAUUAUCAAUUGAGGAAAAAUAAUCAACUGGGGUGGUAGUGAGGAAGCAUAGCUCAGAGUGCUUUUGUAAAAGGCGUUUCACCAUCUCCAAUUCUGAUUCUCUGCCUCUCUUAAGAGUCAUCCGUAUUCACUUUGCUUUGUUCCAGAUGCUUACUGAACCGGCCCCUUUUAAAAAAAAA
rnacentral:lncRNA from 1 species